GGUAUUGUUGUGAAGUUCGGUUUUUAAAUGGCUCCAGUCCAGGAAACCGGUGCUGAUGUUUCUAUACC
rfam:Poecilia formosa, whole genome shotgun sequence.